CUGAUUUACAGGCGUAUAAUACUGCCUGAUGAGCUGCCAAAAGUAGUCUUGCAUGUGCAGUUGCUGGGGGGGGGGGGGGUCCAGAGCCGGCUGAUCUUGUUUCUUCAGUUCAGGAAAUUUUCCCAUUUUUUUUUUUAAAGGGCACAAGGGAGGCUCAUUUUCCUCUGGCUGCCGUCUCUACUUCGGCCCAUCGGUCGUCGACAAUCGUGCCGUGAAACGAGGCUAAGGAGAAGGGGUCGAGCUUAGAUAUUCUAAUCUGUAAUAGAGUAGUAUUUUCCUCUUUUCUUUCUCGAUAUGUAUGUAAUGUCUCUUAUAGCUAAUGUAUUUCUUUUCUUUUAUUUUCAUUGUGAAGCAUUUGUAAACUUAGACUUAGCUUGAAACUUGUGUACUCCGUUUACUUAAGAAAUCAACGAAUAAUCUUUCUUUCUCA